rnacentral:rRNA from 1 species
AUUGAACGCUGGCGGCAGGCUUAACACAUGCAAGUCGAGCGGUAACAGGGGAGCUUGCUCCUGCUGACGAGCGGCGGACGGGUGAGUAACGCGUAGGAAUCUACCUAGUAGAGGGGGACAACGUGUGGAAACGCAUGCUAAUACCGCAUACGCCCUAAGGGGGAAAGGAGGGGACUUUUCGGAGCCUUCCGCUAUUAGAUGAGCCUGCGUAAGAUUAGCUAGUUGGUAGGGUAAAGGCCUACCAAGGCGACGAUCUUUAACUGGUCUGAGAGGAUGACCAGUCACACUGGGACUGAGACACGGCCCAGACUCCUACGGGAGGCAGCAGUGGGGAAUAUUGGACAAUGGGCGGAAGCCUGAUCCAGCCAUGCCGCGUGUGUGAAGAAGGCCUUAGGGUUGUAAAGCACUUUCAGGGGUGAGGAAGGGUAGCUAGUUAAUACCUAGUUAUCUAGACGUAGCCC